rnacentral:rRNA from 1 species
CAUGCAGUCGCAGGGGAGCCGCCCUUCGGGGUGGUGGAGACUGGCGGACGGNNNANUAACGCGUGGGAACCUGCCCUGGGGUGGGGGAUAACCGCUGGAAACGGCGGCUAAUACCGCAUACGCCCUGAGGGGGAAAGGAUUGGCGCCCUGGGAGGGGCCCGCGUUGGAUUAGCUUGUUGGUGGGGUAACGGCCCACCAAGGCUGCGAUCCAUAGCUGGUCUGAGAGGAUGAUCAGCCGCACUGGGACUGAGACACGGCCCAGACUCCUACGGGAGGCAGCAGUGGGGAAUAUUGGACAAUGGGGGCGACCCUGAUCCAGCCAUGCCGCGUGGGUGAAGAAGGCCUUAGGGUUGUAAAGCCCUUUCGGCGGGGAAGAUGAUGACGGUACCCGCAGAAGAAGCCCCGGCUAACUCCGUGCCAGCAGCCGCGGUAAUACGGANGGGGCGAGCGUUGUUCGGAAUUACUGGGCGUAAAGGGCGCGUAGGCGGNGCAUCAAGUCAGGGGUGAAAGGNCUGGGCUCAACCUGNNAACUGCCUUUGAAACUGAUGCUCUUGAGUCCGGGAGAGGAUGGCGGAAUUCCCAGUGUAGAGGUGAAAUUCGUAGAUNUUNGGGAANNACACCGGNGGCNNANGGNNGCCAUCUGGNCNNGCNCUGACNNUNANGCGCGAANCGUGNGANCAA